UACGGAGGGUGCAAGCGUUAAUCGGAAUUACUGGGCGUAAAGCGCGCGUAGGCGGUUUUUUAAGUCGGAUGUGAAAGCCCCGGGCUCAACCUGGGAACUGCAUCCGAUACUGGAAGACUAGAAUGCGGGAGAGGGAGGUAGAAUUCCAUGUGUAGCAGUGAAAUGCGUAGAUAUAUGGAGGAAUACCAGUGGCGAAGGCGGCCUCCUGGCUCGACAUUGACGUUGAGGUGCGAAAGCGUGGGGAGCAAACGGG
rnacentral:rRNA from 1 species